rnacentral:rRNA from 1 species
UACGGGGGGAGCAAGCGUUGUUCGGAUUUAUUGGGCGUAAAGAGCUCGUAGGCGGCUUGUCGCGUCGACUGUGAAAUCCCGCGGCUCAACCGCGGGUCUGCAGUCGAUACGGGCAGGCUAGAGUUCGGUAGGGGAGACUGGAAUUCCUGGUGUAGCGGUGAAAUGCGCAGAUAUCAGGAGGAACACCGGUGGCGAAGGCGGGCUCUGGGCCGUAUACUGACGCUGAGGAGCGAAAGCUGGGGAGCAAACGGG